GGGAACAGCACAGACGGCGUGGAGGCCUCCCCGGUGCAAACUCCGGCAGCCCCUACCACAUCCACCAAGCCCCCCCGAGAACAGUCAGUGGACGGCCCAGGUGCCGCGUGCCGGGACGACGAGCGCGGGCAGCAGAGAUGGCCCAGGUGGCAACAGAGAUGGCCCAGGUGGCAACAGAGACGGCCCAGGUGGCAACAGAGACGGCCCAGGUUCCGUGUGCCGGGGUUGGGAUUGCGGGCAACAGAGACGGGGCAGGUGCUGUGUGCCGGGGACAAGGCACAUGGGCAACAGAGACGGCCCAGGUGCCGUGUGCAGGGGGCAAGGCACGCGGGCAACAGAGACGGGGCAGACACAGGCUCCAAGCGCCAGCCCUGCCAUCCGCCAGCUCCUGGGCCUUGGCAAAGACGGCAGCACCACCUUAGCCCGGGAGCCAGAAACACAGAAUGUGACGCUCACGUACACAGAGAAGGCCAAGGUCACAGCACGAGAGGUGUCAAGGGAGGAGCAUGAGAGAUUAUCAAGAGAAGAAAAAGGGAGCUCGGAGCUCCGUAAGGGAGAGAGUGGCAGCAGCAGAUCAAACCCCGGAGCCCCUGCCCUGGGUGGGUGCCAGCUUCCCUGAGACAUUCCGUGCCUGUGACAUUGCUGUGUGCAGAGAUGAACGAGACGGGAAAAGCCACUGCACCCUGAAGAACUACAAUAUGGUGGGGGUGGCAGAUGCCAAUCAAUGACACAGAUACCUAUUUAACUAA
rnacentral:lncRNA from 1 species